rnacentral:misc_RNA from 1 species
AAAUUAAAAAAGAAUUAUAGAAACAAACAAAAUCAUCCAUUUCUAGAGCUCUCUUCUUUCUAUCUGCAACUCAGCUCGCUCUCCACAGGUUGACUCAUGAAAGCUCUGGCCAACUCCUCUUCUUUGUCAAAGAUCGCAUCCGAAAGAUUUGGAGAUUGCCGAGAUUUUUGUCUCACUAGACAUCAAAUUGGUUUUUUCUCUUCCAAAAAACUUCUUAAUCUUGGGGCUUUUAUAUGCAUUAAACACAAGGCUCUUCACCCCAUUUCUGCUUCUAUCCCUCCUCUUUCCAAGUUGGGCUUGGAGGAUGCAGAGACCAAAACCCAAGAAACAUACCAAUCAAAGACCGUUCAUGUUAAAUUCCACCUAAAGAAAAAGUGUUCCUUUGGUGAGCAAUUUGCUCUAGUAGGGGACGAUCCCUUGUUUGGCGUGUGGGACCCUGCAAGUGCAAUACCAUUGAACUGGUCAGACGGUCAUGUUUGGACUCUUGAGCUGGAUAUGCCCAUUGGAAAAUCAAUCCAGUUCAAGUUCAUACUAAAAAAAAUUACUGGGAAGAUUUUGUGGCAACCAGGACCCGAUCGAGUUCUCAAAACCUGGGAAACUGAGAAUACAAUUGUUGUUUCAGAAGAUUGGGGAGAUGCUACCUUUCAGAAAUUAAUAGAGGAAGAAACGAUUUAUGAUCAAAAAGGGGAGCCUACUGUUGAUUCAGAAAUGCUGAUCGUUGCUGACAACUUGACUGCUAACUCAGAAAUGCUAGUUUUUGCUGAAGCCUUGACCCACCAAAAUGAGGAAUUAGCCUCUGAUGUCAAUUCUUACCCACCAAAGGAACCAUUACCACCGACUCCUGAGAAACCAAUCAUUGUUAAUAGCAUUCCUCCUCCAGAAGAGGAGCCCAUGUUUAUUGUUGCAGAUAAUAUCAGCUACACAAAGGAGGAUCCUGUUGUGCGAGCAAGUCACCAAGUGCUAGGUGUCCUUGGACGCAAUGAUGAGAAGGAUGAGAAUGAGGCUAUUUCAAAGGAGAAAGCAAUGAUAGCAGAGGAGAUUGUCGGAAAUAAUGGAAGAGCUUCAACAGAAAUUAAUUCAGCAAGUAUGACUGUGGAAGGAAAUCUGGUUACUCAUGAAGGAGAUCCUGUUCUGGUACCUGGAAUACCUCCAUUAUCAGUGUUUUCAAGCGAACCAGUAAUUCGUGAUGAAGGUGAGACAAACAGUGCCUUUGAUGCCGCAGUUGGAGUUAAUGAAGGUGAAACAAACAGUGCCUUUGAUGCCUCGGUUGGAGUUAACGAUGAAGUUAAGAAUCACAAUUUGCCAGAGAAAAAGUAGCAUGAAAUUGAUGAUGAUCUUCAUCAAACAGAAAAAGUAGAGGUGUUCAGUGAUCAGGNGGCAGCUUCACAAUGAACUUGAGCAAAAUCCACUAGCUGAUGAUGGAAAACAGCAAGAAUCAGAACCAACCGAAAAUGGUGUUUGGCAAAGUGACAUUCUAUGGGGUCGAAAAGCAAUACAGAAGCUGCUAAUUAAUUUAGGAUUUCUGUAGCAUAAGUGUUUAUGACUAUGCUAUUGCUACUUAAUCGCCUACCAUUUUCAAGUGGCUUGGCGAACAGGAGUGAUAUUGAGAUGAUUUUGGUAGCUAUCACAUUGUACAGAAGUUUGCAACUCAUUUGUGAUAUUGCUAUAGUUAAUCAUGUGUGGAUUGUUUUGUAUCGCCUAAUGUUGUUUGAUGUUUUAUGUAUACGGUGAGAGCAUUUUCUUGCACGACAUAGAGUGAGAAAAAGCUCUCAACGUAU